AUUGAACGCUGGCGGCAGGCCUAACACAUGCAAGUCGAACGGUAACAGGAAGCAGCUUGCUGCUUUGCUGACGAGUGGCGGACGGGUGAGUCAUGUCUGGGAAACUGCCUGAUGGAGGGGGAUAACUACUGGAAACGGUAGCUAAUACCGCAUAACGUCGCAAGACCAAAGAGGGGGACCUUCGGGCCUCUUGCCAUCGGAUGUGCCCAGAUGGGAUUAGCUUGUUGGUGGGGUAACGGCUCACCAAGGCGACGAUCCCUAGCUGGUCUGAGAGGAUGACCAGCCACACUGGAACUGAGACACGGUCCAGACUCCUACGGGAGGCAGCAGUGGGGAAUAUUGCACAAUGGGCGCAAGCCUGAUGCAGCCAUGCCGCGUGUAUGAAGAAGGCCUUCGGGUUGUAAAGUACUUUCAGCGGGGAGGAAGGGAGUAAAGUUAAUACCUUUACUCAUUGACGUUACCCGCAGAAGAAGCACCGGCUAACUCCGUG
rnacentral:rRNA from 1 species